rnacentral:rRNA from 1 species
AUUGAACGCUGGCGGCAGGCCUAACACAUGCAAGUCGAGCGGGAACUUCGGUUCUAGCGGCGGACGGGUGAGUAAUGCGUAGGAAGCUACCCGAUAGAGGGGGAUACCAGUUGGAAACGACUGUUAAUACCGCAUAAUGUCUACGGACCAAAGUGUGGGACCUUCGGGCCACAUGCUAUCGGAUGCGCCUACGUGGGAUUAGCUAGUUGGUGAGGUAAUGGCUCACCAAGGCGACGAUCCCUAGCUGGUUUGAGAGGAUGAUCAGCCACACUGGAACUGAGACACGGUCCAGACUCCUACGGGAGGCAGCAGUGGGGAAUAUUGGACAAGGGGCGAAAGCCUGAUCCAGCCAUGCCGCGUGUGUGAAGAAGGCCUUCGGGUUGUAAAGCACUUUCAGCGAGGAGGAAGGAGUUGUAGUUAAUAGCUGCAACUUUUGACGUUACUCGCAGAAGAAGCACCGGCUAACUCUGUGCCAGCCGCCGCCGUAACAC